CUGCAUCGGAGAGUUCUAAACUGCUUUAGGUGUAAACUCACUGCAUCCUUACAGCUACCUUAUGAAGUAAGCACGGUUAUCCAGAUCAACAGAUGAGAAAACUGCCGCACAGAAUUAUAGAGUCAUUCACCCACGUCACAGAGACAGGACGUAAUAAAUUGGGGAUGGCAACCAGGGCCUUAGUGUCCUUGUUGGACUCUGGUGAUGGUGUGGGAGGAUUGGAUCCGCAGGCAUAGCCGAUGUCCACAGUGGGACGGCAUCUUCGGUAUUAGCCUGCCCCCCCUGGACACAAAUCUUACAGUCCUGAAGGUCAGAAGUCUGAAACAGGUUUUACAGAGCAAAAUCAAGGUGUUGGCGGAGCUAUGGAGGAAAAUCUGCUCCCUGCUUUUUCCAGCUUCUGGGUGCUGGCUGGAUUCACACUCAUGUCACUCUGAUUCAUACUUUUGUUUUUACAUCUCCUCUGACUCCUUUGCCUUCAUCCUUUCAUGGUAAGACCACAUAAUUAUACUGGGCCCACAUGGAUAAUCCAUGCUAUUUUCCUGUCCUUGGGCUCGCCACAAGAUUUGAUGUACUUUAAUUUGCCUUUUCAUGUAUUAGCUGCUGGUCAACAGUGGAUAGCUGUCUUCCCCCAUGCUCGCCUCUCUCUCCUGCUGCUUCCUGCCUGGUACUAUUUCCAGAUUCUACCUGAGUGUGAACACAUUUUUAUGUCCUUUCUUUCUCACCUGCUUUAUUGGGUCCAUUAAUUAUUCACUGUUCAUGUCUGCUGGUGGCACUCCUUCUAGUUUUAAAAUGGUGAAAUAAAUUAAAUUUUAUUUUUAUAUGUAUCCAUUUAUUCCAAUAGAACUUUGAGAG